CUCGACUCCAUGAAGCUGGAUUCGCUAGUAAUCGCGCAUCAGCCAUGGCGCGGUGAAUACGUUCCCGGGCCUUGUACACACCGCCCGUCAAGCCAUGGGAGCCGGGGGUGCCUGAAGUACGUGACCGCGAGGAGCGUCCUAGGGCAAAACUGGUGACUGGGGCUAAGUCGUAACAAGGUAGC
rnacentral:rRNA from 1 species